CUAGCGGGGCACGAGCUCAUUUGUUCAAAACCCCACCCAAGCGUUUUACAACCUCGGAUUUUGGGCCACUAUCUUCUCUUUCUCUACGCCAUGGAUAGAAUAUGAAACUCAGAGGGCACAACAAAGACGUUUUUGGAUGCCAGGGUUGCUCUGUUCUGUGCAUCUCUGCCUAUCACAGAGGACACAGACUACAUCUAUGAGACAGUUUAAGACAGUGAGGUUUACACCGUUAUGCUGCUACGAGAUCAUGAAGAUGUAUUUGCUGGAGACGUACAGGAUUUGAGCUGUUAACAGCAGAGAGCCUCAAGCCCAAAGCAUCUGAGGACGAUAGCGACUUGGAUAUUCAGUUCUCUAAAUUCAUCAGUGACUCUGACUCUGCCUUCUCAGAGUUCAGGUUGACUGAAGAGAGUGUGCUUCACUUGUCUCUGUUGGUCAAUAGUGAACAUUAUCAUUACUGUGGUGUGGGCUAGAGGUAAAAUAAGUAAUAGAAUUUAUGUUAAGAUAUUAAACAGUAAAAAAAUCUAAGUAAUAUAUAUUGUAAGUUCAAAUGUUCGUGGAAUUUUUUAUUUGAUGUAUUCACGUGAUUUUUUUUUUAAAUGUAGACCCACACAAUUGUUUCCCAAGGAGUCACUGAUCACUAUUGUUCCCAGUGAACAUUCACCAAUGACCAUUGUUCCCAACAACCAUUCACUGAUCACCAUUAUUCCCAGAGACCAAUCAGUGCACACUUUUCAAAUGACCAAUCACCGAUCACCAUCGUUCCCAAAGACCAGUCACUGAUCACCAUUGUUCAAAGGACCAAUCACCGUUGUUUCCCAACAGCGGAUCACCAAUUACCAUUGUUUCCCAAACACCAGUCACUGAUCACCAUUGUUCUCAACAACCAAUCACUGAUCACCAUUAUUCCCAAUGACCAACCACUGCUCACUAUACUUUCCCAAUGAUCAAUCCCUGAUCAUCAUCAUUCCCAGUGACCAACCACUGCUCACUAUACUUUCCCAACAACCAAUCACUGAUCACCAUUAUUCCCACUGACCAACCACUGCUCACCAUUGAAGUUAUUCCAUCUGUAAUAAUUUCCUUCUUGUCUAUUUCCGGACUGUUCUUAUAAAUAAGUUACAAAUACAUAAAUAGU